rnacentral:rRNA from 1 species
AGAGUUUGAUCAUGGCUCAGAUGAACGCUGGCGGCGUGCCUAAUACAUGCAAGUCGAACGGAGAAUAUAGCAAUAUGUUCUUAGUGGCGAACGGGUGAGUAACGCGUUGGUGACCUGCCCCGAAGCGGGGGAUAACAGUCCGAAAGGAUUGCUAAUACCCCAUGUGAUCACCGGGAUUAGAAUCCGGUGAUUAAAGGAGAAAUUCACUUUGGGAGGGACCUGCGUCCCAUCAGCUUGUUGGUAAGGUAACGGCUUACCAAGGCAAUGACGGGUAGGGGACCUGAGAGGGUGGACCCCCACAAUGGCACUGAAACACGGGCCAUACACCUACGGGUGGCAGCGGUAGGGAAUAUUGGUUAAUCUACGAAAGUGGGAACCAGCAACGCCGCGUGUGCGAUGAAGGCCUUCGGGUCGUAAAGCACUUUUUACAGGGACGAGGAAGGACGGUACCUGUAGAAUAAGCCUCGGCUAACUACGUGCCAGCAGCCGCGGUAACACGUAGGAGGCGAGCGUUAUCCGGAUUUACUGGGCGUAAAGCGCGUGCAGGCGGUUGGGUAAGUUGGAUGUGAAAGCUCCUGGCUUAACUGGGAGAGGUCGUUCAAUACUACCUGACUUGAGAGUGGUAGAGGAAAGCGGAGUUCCGGGUGUAGUGGUGAAAUGCGUAGAUAUCC